UACGUAGGUGGCAAGCGUUACUCGGAUUCACUAGGCGUAAAGCGCAGGUAGGCGGCUCGAUAAGUCUUUUGUAAAAGCUCCCGGCUUAACUGGGAGAGGUCAAGGGAAACUAUCGGGCUAGAGUGUGGUAGGGGGUACUGGAAUUCCUGGUGUAGCGGUGAAAUGCGUAGAUAUCAGGAGGAAUACCUAUGGCGAAAGCAGGUACCUGGGCCAUCACUGACGCUGAGCUGCGAAAGCUAGGGGAG
rnacentral:rRNA from 1 species